UCGCUUGGCUGGCGUCGUGCUACAUAGCGAGUAAUGCGACUUCCUAUAUCGUGGCGCAGAUGUGAUGCUCGGAUAAUGUGACACGUGAAGUCAAAAGUUCCGGUGACUUUAGUGACACGUAGCAGUUAUAGUGACGUCACGCUUUCCUCAGAUGGUUGCGUUUUGGAAAAGUAAUCGUUUAUGCCCUAGAAGUGAACGACACGACCUCCGCUGCAUCAUCAUCUUCUGCCGCUGUCUGCUUCGUGACUGCCGAAGGAAAGAGAAGUCAACUAUCGCCACCUAUCGACGUGUCAGGUAGUCUGAUAGGCCUCGGCUUUGCCAAUGAACAUGUAUACAACCACAGGAUCAACGAGCUAGAGGGAGACGGAAAGCCUGCGCUGAACUACAGAGAAUUUGCAAAGGGAACGAACGUGUUUGACAGCGGCCAUGUCGGUGUAGUACUGUGCCAGUGCAACGAUGGUGUAUGAAUUUUAAGGGCCGACAUCAGGUCGACACAAACAGUGAGAAGAACGCGUAGUACAGAGACUCGCUUCGGGCCCACUUUGGCGGCAACAUGCACAUGUAAAGCGGGUUUCAGCAGCCGGUGCAGUCAUAUUUGUACACCGCUCAUCAAGGUUGUAGAGGCGACAAACAAGGGGCUCACGAGUGCUUCGUGCACUGACAAGGCAUGUACACGGAACCGUUCAACUGCAAGGAACGUGACCCCUGCUACUAUGGGGGAAGUUUAUUCUGACAAGCAGCAGCCAACGCCUACAGCGGAGUUUGGGGCUCACACAGAAAUGCUGCGCCACUUUGAGGGCUGCAUUACUUACCCUCGCUGACUCUCCCGGUUUGAAAUCCUUCCUCUAAAGAUUCGAUACCUA